rnacentral:lncRNA from 12 species
UGGUCAUCCCUCUCUGACUGGAGACAAGUCACCUUGGACCACAUUUUGAUUUUCAGGAAAGAGUCACUUGCCAGGCUUUUUCUAGUUUUAUUACUGUGAAGUAAGCUGACAGUUAUUACCUUGAGGAUAAAAUGUGACAGAGCCUUCACUGAUUAGUCUGACAAAGACAACUUCUUUCAAUAACCUUACAUAAGUGGACCUUGCCUGCAGAAAAAUAUUGGCAAAAUUAUGGCAGAGCAUCCUAUAAUGAAAGUGAUUGAGAUCCCAGUUCCUUUGUUUUGUUAAGUCUCUAAUGGAUGAAGACAGUCUCCACUGAGGCUUAUCAGCACUGAGAAUACCACUAGUCCUCAAGAAAAACUUUCAGGAAAGGUAGAGGUUUUCUGAACCAGAAAACUGGUUUAACAACAUAGGAAGUUACUAGGGAAAAGGCUUGUUUAGGCAUAUCAUAAAUCCAUGUGUCAAACCUCUGUGUCUUGUCACAGAGGCAUGGCAAUGCCUGUGAGUAUAAAUUCAAAGAGCUGAAGUGUUAGGAGACCAAAAGUAGAGUGACUGUUGGCAUGCAUAAUAUGGAAGACAUUGUCCUUACUAAAAGGUCACAGAGAGCUGCAUAGGGAGCUGGACCAGCAAGACAAUUGUCCCAGUAUUGGGUAGGAAUUCCCUGAACAGCACAACGAUGAUCAAAACAAUGGCAAAUGAAAUCCAAGCGACACUAUUCACUUUUCACCCAGUGUGUGCAAGUAGGAGUGGCUGCUUUGGCAACAAUCUGCUGCAUUUCUAGGAGCAUCUGAGGAAAAGGUGCCCAGGGUUGCAGACUGUGGUGGUUCUCCUGGAACCUAUCCUGGAUAUCACACUAGUUCUGAUCAACAACAACAAAAUACCAACCGUAUAGUGGGAAGAACAACCUUUAAAGUCAGACAGAUGAGCUCAAAUCCAACCUCUGCCACUCUGAGCCAGUUUACAGUCUUAUGUUUCUAGUUUCCUCAUUUUCGAAGGGCAACAAGUUAUCUGCUUACAGGGCCAAAGUGGAAAUUAAUUAAAGCCAUCUAUAUAAAAUGCCUGGCAUGAAGGCAAGUACACAAUGCAUGUUCUUUACUCUUUCUUAAUAUGGGGGUGGGAAGAGAGGAAAAGGGAGAGAGUCUAAUUUCAAAUUUAAUAAAGUGAUAGCAUGGUUAUAUUAAACA